ensembl:lncRNA
CAGCAGCCUUAUGCACACAGCUCCUCUUUAAAAUAAUAUCUGUAACAAUAGGGGUAUGAAACCACAGACAGGUGAGAGGUAGGAGCAGACAGGUGAGAGGUAGGAUCAGACAGGUGAGAGGUAGGAGCAGACAGGUGAGAGGUAGGAGCAGACAGGUGAGAGGUAGGAGCAGAGAGGUAGGAGCAGACAGGUAAGGGGGAGGAGGUAGGAGCAGACAGGUGAGGGUAGGAGCAGACAGGUGAGGGGUAGGAGCAGACAGAUAGGAGGUAGGAGCACACAGGUAAGGGGUAGGAGCAGACGGGUAAGGGGUAGGAGCAGACAGGAUGGAUGUAGUAGCAGACAGGUAGGG